rnacentral:misc_RNA from 1 species
AAUCUUAGAUUCAUCGACGAACAUAACUCUGUGAACCGGACUUACAAGGUUGGUUUGAACCAGUUUGCCGAUCUGACCAACGAGGAGUACCGGGCGAGGUUCUUGGGUACGAGGAUGGAGAGGAAGAAUAGAUUGGGUGCGGGCAGGAGUCAGAGGUAUUUGUUCAAUAAAGGAGAUGAUUUGCCGAAGAAGGUUGACUGGAGAGAGAAAGGAGCUGUUGUCCCUGUCAAGGAUCAAGGCCAGUGUGGGAGUUGCUGGGCUUUCUCGACUAUUGGUGCAGUGGAAGGGAUAAACCAGAUUGUAACUGGUGAUCUAAUCUCUCUGUCAGAGCAGGAGUUAGUGGACUGUGACACAUCUUAUAACCAGGGAUGCAAUGGAGGUCUCAUGGACUAUGCCUUUGAAUUUAUUAUCAAGAAUGGUGGAAUUGAUACAGAAGAAGAUUACCCUUA